rnacentral:tRNA from 1 species
GGAAGCGUGCCCGAAAGCUAAGGACCUCCAUGAUAAGGAGGCUCAUAGGGAUUCAAACCCCCUCACUUCCU